AUAUACCGGAGAGGGAGCCUUAGAAACGGCUACCACAUCUAAGGAAGGCAGCAGGCGCGCAAAUUACCCACUCUCAGAACGAGGAGGUAGUGAAUUUAAAUAGCGAUGAUGAACUCUUAUGAGGCUCGUCAAUCGAAAUGAGUACAAUUUAAAUCCUUUAACGAGUACCAAUUGGAGGGCAAGUCUGGUGCCAGCAGCCGCGGUAAUUCCAGCUCCAAUAGCGAAUAUUAAAUUUGUUGCAGUUAAAAAGCUCGUAGUUGGAUCCAAGGUUAGGCAUGCCUGUCUGUUCUUAGUAGCAUGACUGUGUGUGUCUGCCUUUAUUAGUUGAAUGUUCAUUAUGGUGGUCUUCAUCGACUGCUAUGAUGUGCUCAACACGUUUACCUUGAAAAAGUCAGAGCGAUCAAGGCAGGCCUUCGUGCUUGUAUGUUGUUGCAAGGAAUAAUAGAAUAGGACUUCGGUUCUAUUUUGUUGGUUUUGAGAAUUGAAGUAAUGAACAAUAGAGACAGUCGGGGGCAUUUGUAUGGUGGCGUUAGAGGUGAAAUUCUGAGAUCGUCGCCAGACAAACUACUGCGAAAGCAUUUGCCAAGGAUGUCUUCAUUAAUCAAGAACGAAAGUCAGAGGUUCGAAGACGAUCAGAUACCGUCCUAGUUCUGACCAUAAACGAUGCCGACCUACAAUCGGGGGUGGUUUAUUAUAUUGACCCUCCCGGCUGUCCUCAGGAAACUUUAAGUUGGUUCUGGGGGGAAUAUGGUCUCAAGACUGAAACUUAAAGGAAUUGACGGAAGGGCACCACCAGGAGUGGAGCCUGCGGCUUAAUUUGACCCAACACGGGUAAUCUCACCCGGUCCGGACACUGGUAGGAUGGACAGAUUGAUAGCUCUUUCUUGAUUCAGUGGGUGGUGGUGCAUGGCCGUUCUUAGUUGGUGGAGUGAUUUGUCUGGUUAAUUCCGAUAACGAACGAGACUCUGUCCUGCUAAAUAGUCCAGUGGCAUCAAUCACUAUGUGAUUACAGCUGCUGUUACUUCUUAGAGGGAUUCGCGGAUUUAAACCGCAAGAAAUAGAGCAAUAACAGGUCUGUGAUGCCCUUAGAUGUCCGGGGCCGCACGCGCGCUACAUUGACAGUAGAAGCGAGUAUUUCUACCUGGUUCGAAAGAAUUGGGAAAUCUCCGAAUUACUGUCUCCACGGGAUUGAGGUUUGCAAUUUUGCCUCAUGAACGAGGAAUUCCCAGUAGGCGCAAGUCAUCAGCUUGCGUCGAUUACGUCCCUGCCCUUUGUACACACCGCCCGUCGCUACUACCGAUUGAGUGCAUUAGUGAGGACCUCGGAUUGAGAACAUAGUGGCGCAAGUUACUUUGUUUUCGAAAAGUGGUUCAAAUUUGUGCAUUUAGAGAUAGUAAAAGUCGUAACAAGGUU
rnacentral:rRNA from 1 species